rnacentral:rRNA from 1 species
UACGAAGGGGGGCUAGCGUUGCUCGGAAUCACUGGGCGUAAAGGGCGCGUAGGCGGCGUUUUAAGUCGGGGGGUGAAAGCCUGUGGCUCAACCACAGAAUGGCCUCGAUACUGGGACGCUUGAGUAUGGUAGAGGUUGGUGGAACUGCGAGUGUAGAGGUGAAAUUCGUAGAUAUUCGCAAGAACACCGGUGGCGAAGGCGGCCAACUGGACCAUUACUGACGCUGAGGCGCGAAAGCUAGGGGAGCAAACGGG